UGGGGGAUAUUGCACAAUGGGCGAAAGCCUGAUGCAGCGACGCCGCGUGGGGGAUGAAGGCCUUCGGGUUGUAAACUUCUUUUGCUCUGAACAAGGCAUGCUAAUGGGUGUGUUGAGUGUAGGGGUUGAUUAGCGCCGGCUAACUACGUGCCAGCAGCCGCGGUAAUACGUAGGGCGCGAGCGUUGUCCGGCAUUAUUGGGCGUACAGGGCUAGUAGGUGGCUGGUUGCGUCUGCCGUGAAAGCUCAUGGCUUAACUGUGGGUUUGCGGUGGGUACGGGCUGGCUUGAGUACAGUAGUGGAGGCUGGAAUUCCUGGUGUAGCGGUGGAAUGCGCAGAUAUCAGGAGGAAUACCGGUGGCGAAGGCGGGUCUCUGGGCUGUUACUGACACUGAGGAGCGAAAGCAUGGUGAGCGAACAGG
rnacentral:rRNA from 1 species